rnacentral:rRNA from 1 species
GGAACGUGCCCGAUCGUGGGGGAUAACGGAGCGAAAGCUUUGCUAAUACCGCAUACGAUCUACGGAUGAAAGCAGGGGACCCUUGGGCCUUGCGCGGACGGAGCGGCCGAUGGCAGAUUAGGUAGUUGGUGGGAUAAAAGCUUACCAAGCCGACGAUCUGUAGCUGGUCUGAGAGGACGACCAGCCACACUGGGACUGAGACACGGCCCAGACUCCUACGGGAGGCAGCAGUGGGGAAUUUUGGACAAUGGGCGCAAGCCUGAUCCAGCCAUGCCGCGUGCAGGGAUGAAGGCCUUCGGGUUGUAAACUGCUUUUGUACGGAACGAAAAGACUCCUUUUAAUAAAGGGGGUUCAUGACGGUACCGUAAGAAUAAGCACCGGCUAACUACGUGCCAGCAGCCGCGGUAAUACGUAGGGUGCAAGCGUUAAUCGGAAUUACUGGGCGUAAAGCGUGCGCAGGCGGUUAUAUAAGACAGAUGUGAAAUCCCCGGGCUCAACCUGGGAACUGCAUUUGUGACUGUAUAGCUGGAGUACGGCAGAGGGGGAUGGAAUUCCGCGUGUAGCAGUGAAAUGCGUAGAUAUGCGGAGGAACACCGAUGGCGAAGGCAAUCCCCUGGGCCUGUACUGACGCUCAUGCACGAAACGUCGUGGGGAGCGAAACAGGAUUAGAUACCCGU